rnacentral:rRNA from 1 species
CGUAAGCGUACGUAGGUGGUUUGUUAAGUUGGAUGUGAAAGCCCAGGGCUCAACCUUGGAACUGCAUUCAAAACUGGCGAACUAGAGUAUGGUAGAGGUGAGUGGAAUUUCCUGUGUAGCGGUGAAAUGCGUAGAGAUGGGAAGGAACAUCAGUGGCGAAGGCGACUCACUGGACCAAUACUGACACUGAGGUACGAAAGCGUGGGUAGCAAACAGGAUUAGAUACCCUGGUAGUCCACGCCGUAAACGAUGUCUACUAGCCGUUGGGGUCCUUGAGACUUUAGUGGCGCAGCUAACGCACUAAGUAGACCGCCUGGGGAGUACGGUCGCAAGAU